rnacentral:rRNA from 1 species
CCCAAGAGAUCGGGAUAACACCUGGAAACAGAUGCUAAUACCGGAUAACAACAGAUGAUGCCUAUCAACUGUUUAAAAGAUGGUUCUGCUAUCACUCUUGGAUGGACCUGCGGUGCAUUAGCUAGUUGGUAGGGUAACGGCCUACCAAGGCGAUGAUGCAUAGCCGAGUUGAGAGACUGAUCGGCCACAUUGGACUGAGACACNGGCCCAAACUCCUACGGGAGGGCAGCAGUG